rnacentral:lncRNA from 1 species
AACGGACCAACCAGACUCUCAAGACAGCAAUUGGCAAGUCCCUUGACGGGUACAAGGAACAGUGGAAGAACAACCUGAAGGUAAUUCUCUCUGCACACAAAACCAGCGUCCAGGGCUCCACCGAGUACGGGCAGGAGCCACAGCUGUUGAUUAAGAUCACUGAUACCCUACCUAAUGUGGUUGAAGUUGUCGAACCAGAUCAGAACGCCUUCAAGGACCACCUUCAUGCGUGGACUGAGAAGGAUGUGGAGGUUAGACUGAACAUCGACAAGCGCAGGAGAAAAAGAAGUUGAGCUACCGGAGGAAAAUCAAGAAGGGGACCAAGUGCUUCGACAUCCGGGCAAAUUACUUGGUUUGGAAGAAGGACGAAAGGAAGGCAAGACCUGGGAAACAUCGGUGCGAUUUCGCUCCUAGCUGGGGUCACCAUCCAAUAAGGGUUACCUCGGUGGAAGCCAACAAUCUUCUCCAGUUGGAGCAUUUAAACGGUUCACCACUGAAAGCCCGGACGCCCUACACUUUGGUGAAGCAUAAUAGACAAAUUCACCUCUCCCAAUGACUUUAGGACCAUCGACUGUCCGAGCCCCCAAGGAGGUAUCCCAUCCACCAGAGCUAGUGAGUUCAGAUCAGUCUGAUUCUCUGUGCUCUGAGUGAGAGGGGGACCAGCUUGAGGAUCUAAGGGUUCUGCCCAACAACCAGAUGUGGAUCCACCUGAUUUCCUCCAUUACCAACCACCCUCCAACUUUUCAUUACCUCAUCUACAGCAACUGUUAUUGUCAUGUUCUCAUUAUCUGAUAAGAAUAUUUUCUAGCUGUCAUACUGGGAACUUAAUAGGUGAGAUACACACAUUAACUAAAAACACUAUCACUGCAAACAAUCAGAACAAAGAGAGCAGCAGUGCCUGGUCUUUGCAGUCUGCCUCUUCAAGUCCCCCUUCUGAGACUGGCUGCCUUUUGAGAACAAGUGACAGGCAGAACCUCCCACCCACAUAGCAUCCACCUCUAUAUUCCAAAACACCAGAAUUCAGUAUUUUAG